UACGUAGGGUGCGAGCGUUAAUCGGAAUUACUGGGCGUAAAGCGUGCGCAGGCGGUUCGCCAAGUCAGGUGUGAAAUCCCCGGGCUUAACCUGGGAAUUGCGCUUGAAACUAGCGGGCUUGAGUGUGGCAGAGGGGGGUGGAAUUCCACGUGUAGCAGUGAAAUGCGUAGAGAUGUGGAGGAACACCGAUGGCGAAGGCAGCCCCCUGGGUCAACACUGACGCUCAUGCACGAAAGCGUGGGGAGC
rnacentral:rRNA from 1 species